CCUACGGGAGGCAGCAGUGGGGAAUCUUGCGCAAUGGGCGAAAGCCUGACGCAGCCAUGCCGCGUGAAUGAUGAAGGUCUUAGGAUUGUAAAAUUCUUUCAGUAGGGACGAUAAUGACGGUACCUACAGAAGAAGCCCCGGCUAACUUCGUGCCAGCAGCCGCGGUAAUACGAAGGGGGCUAGCGUUGCUCGGAAUUACUGGGCGUAAAGGGAGCGUAGGCGGGUUAUCAAGUUGGAGGUGAAAGCCCAGGGCUCAACCUUGGAAUUGCCUUCAAAACUGAUAGCCUAGAGUAUGAUAGAGGUAUGUGGAACUCCGAGUGUAGAGGUGAAAUUCGUAGAUAUUCGGAAGAACACCAGUGGCGAAGGCGACAUACUGGGUCAUGACUGACGCUGAGGCUCGAAAGCGUGGGGAGCAAACAGGAUUAGAUACCCUGGUAGUCCACGCUGUAAACGAUGAUUGCUAGUUGUCGGACGGCANGCGUCGGUGCGCNGCUACGCAUAAGACAUCCGCCGUGGGAGGUACGGUCGCGAGAGUUAAACGUUAAACGUAAGUUAGUACGGCGUGAGACGUGCCGACGGACGACGACGAGGGAGGUUAGG
rnacentral:rRNA from 1 species